UCUGUUAUCGCAGCCACCACCCCAACUCUCAUACACUGGCCUUCCAUAGCACCAAUCAUACUGCCUCUCUCGCCCGUAGCCAAGCUGGUAACACGGUCCCCCACCACGCCCCUCAGAACAUUCCGUGCAACAUGCCCUAACAGGUGAGUAACACGGUCCACCACCACGCCCCUCGGAACAUUCCCUGCAACAUGCCCUAACAGGUGAGUAACACGGUCCCCCACCACGCCCCUCGGAACAUUCCCUGCAACAUGUCCUAAUUGGUGAGUAACACGGUCCCCCACCACGCCCCUCGGAACAUUCCCUGCAACAUGUCCUAACGGGUAGGUAACACGGAACGGGCUCCGGAGCCGGUGCCGGUGCCGGAGGCGGCGGUGGGGCUGGUGAUGGUUUUGGUUGGGGAGCCGGUGCCGGGGGUGGUGGCGAUGGUGAAGGUUUCGGUGGUGGUGGUGACGGUUUUGGUUCCGGAGCCGGUGCCGGCGGUGGUUUUGGUUUUGGCGGCGGCGGCGGCUUUGGCUUUGGUGGUUCCAGGAUUUCAAUAGUCUUGAUUGAACCAUCACCUUUGCAGCAUAGCUUGUCCCUGAUCUUUUCAGGACUGCAGCACACUACUUUUAUUGUCACCGUAUUCGUCUUCUCAUCGAAAAACUGUUCUUGUAUUUCUUUGGUCAAAAAGUUCAAACACAAUAUCUUAGCCCACCAUCCGCCAGCCAUUUUUUUAUUUGCAAACACAAAAUAAACAAUUCUACUUGCGCCUCACCAAAUGACACGCGAAUUCAGAAUUUUAUGCCAUUAUAAAACAUUUUACGAAACCAUAAUAUAUAAUAUAUGUAAAUGGACAUGGCCAGCGAUCAGAGAGACACUUACGUGGGAAUUUGCACAGUACUUUCUUGACUUUCUUGUAGCACUUUGAGCACUGAAGGUUAACCUUCAGCACCAUUAUUGUAACCUUCUGUAAACAAUAGUACACAGAUAAUACAAAAGUAUUUUUCAGCAGGCUAAUUAAUUAAAGAUAAAAGAGAGACAUUUAAUUAAUUUCUGACAUGAAAGAAUCAGCAAGGUAACUAUAUAUCUCCGUGUAUAUAUACACUAUAAGCUAUCAUCACGAAAGAUCGAUCGAUGCACAGCACAAACUUAACCAAAAGGGGAAUUACGAACCUUCUCUCCCAUAGCUGCUCGGAUCUGAACCUCAGGAAACCGGACACUGAUUAUUUGAAGCGUUAAUGUGACAGCAGGUAUGGAAAAGGGUCUUAUAAAUAAGUGCGCCAAUUUGAAACUUGUUUAAGAAGGGAAGGAAAAGUAAGGGCUUGAAUUCCGUACAUUAUACAUAACCAAUUAUCUGCCGACACGUCUUAUUGGAUGACGUCGAAUUUCAUGAUAUCAUCAAGGUUGUCGUUAUCUCCGUACAUAGUAAGUCUUUCUUCACAUUUAUGUAUGAUUGCUGACUCACCCAUUCUCCAUUGCAUUUGCAUGUGCUGCCUUUUGAUUGAUUGCCCUUUUCUCUGUUUUUCUUUUUUUUUUUUUGCUUUGCUUUUUUUUUUUCUUUUAUGUCUAAAGGAAAAUUUUUUGUCUUUCUCAUUUGAGCAAUAGUCAUAUUUCUUUACCUAAUUGAAAAUUAAAAAUAAAAAUAAAUAAGGGAAAAUGGACUUUAAUUGAACAACUGAUGUGAGAUCUAGGUAUAGAAAUUUACAUUCACCAACUCUUCCUAACCGUCAAAUUUGAUGCAUUUUUCGAACCCAGCACCUUGUGCCAUGGAUCGAGCAUUCAUUCUACAAACAGAGUAAUUGAUGAAAUAAUUUAAUCGAGCUAUUGGAAGUUUCACCAACCUAAAGUAAUCAUUGUCCUUAACCCAUAAACAAAGGGCCCAAUGAUCAAUUAAUAUAAGCUUUUGGAAGUUCAACCAAUCCCCGUAAGUAUACCUCCAACACUAAGGUAGCUAUUAUGGGCUUGUGGGACCCGCAUACUUAAUGCCUAAGUUAAGUGUCACAUCACUAAUUUAAUUUUAGAUUGGCCACACUCCAAGUAAUUAAAAAAGAUAAUGUUAUUAGUUUACCAGAAGCAGUUGUGACGCCUUGGCACCCACCUCCGCUUGGCCAUUUUAAAUUAAAUGUUGAUGCAGUCAUGGGGGAUGGUGGUGUGGGGGCCGUCGAUGGGUUAUCGGUUGCAAUUGAGGCAGGACUGACAUUGUUCAGAGAUUAUUUAAUUUUUAGCUUCGUGGUUUAUGUUGUCCAACGCUAUCUCACCAUUGUUAUUUAAGAUUAUUUUCUGAAACAUUAUCUCACCCAUAUUAUUGUUCAAAAAGAAAUUAAAGUAAAAAGCAGAUGGCCAAUUUAUCUCUUGUAUCAAUUCUUCUAUUCCUCUUCUUCAUUUAUGGUAAAAAUAACCAUUUUUCUUAAGUGUUUUAUGUAGCAUUUUUGUACUUAAUUUAUGCAAUGCUAUAAAAGAUCAAAUUUGAAUUUUAAAGAAUUAUUAUUAUUAUUAUUAUUAUUAUUAUUAUUAUUAUUAUUAUUUAUCAGGAACUGGGAAGAUAAUUGCCGAGACUCAGGAGAUAGAGCUCUGCAAGACAGCUAUUAUGUCCCAAAAAGAAUUUUGCUUUUGAAGCAUCACUUUCCCAAAAAGAAAUUCCAAAAAUUAUGUCUAAUUAAAAUCUUUUAGAAUCUCCCCAAGGUUUGAUUGCAUGGUUUUUAAACAGUUAUAAGCAGUUUUCAAGAAAUUGUUUUUUAUUAGUACUGAUUUGAACCUUAAGGAAGUUUGAGUUAAAAAAAUUGAUUUGGACUUAAUGGACUCCCUUAUCUUUAAAAGAAAAUGUAUCCUGCAGAAUUCGAAAGAAAUAAUUAAAAAAAAAUAAAACAAUGGAAUAAUUCAGAAAGAGAAAAUAAGAAGCACAUGUAAAAAGUAUUUUUCUAAUGAAUUUAUUUCAAUUUUUUGAUUUUAUAAAUAAAAACUCAAGGGUGAAAAAUUUUAAUGAGUAACGGUCGUUAAUGAAAAAUUUUAAUGAGUAAGGGUUGUUAUAUAUUUAACGAUGAAAUUAAAAGAAAAUAGUGUAAAUGAAAAAAAAAAAUAACAGAAGCGAUGAGAGUGAUUCUGAGAAGAGUUAGAGAUUAUUGUGGGUUGUCUAUGGUAUAGAGUAGGAAGAUUAAGUUAAAUAAAUUAGUUUGAUUUAUCUAAAUAAAUUAUUUCAUUAUAAAAUAGAAUUUACUCAUUGGUAAAGUACUGUAUAGAUGUUUUGGUUUUAUAUAAAUUUAUUAGAAGAGAUGAAUAUAAGGAGUAUUUUUAUCGAAUUCAAAAAGCUCAUAACUUUUCACUUGUAAUCAAUUUUUCUACCAUAAAUUUUUGUAUGAUUUUGGUCCCUAUGGGUAGAAGAAUUUAAAGGGGGCCAAAAUCAUAGAGGUAAACGUUUAGGGGUCAAAGUCUAAAAAGAGUAAAUUAUUUUGGUAAAAUGUCAAGAUAAAUUAAAGUUUCAGAGCCACCUCCCGCCUUUUUUUCAUUUAGCAAAAUAAUACUUUCAUGUAUUAUGCCGAGGUAGAUGUGAUGGACCUUUUUAAUAUUUAAAUUUUAUGAUAAAUAAUGAUGUGUCAUUUAUAAGAGAAAUUUUAUAAUAUAUUAGAGGUAGUACAUCAACUAAUACAUGUAUGACAUGUAUAUAUAGACUUGAUAUAACCUUUAUUUGCAUAAUAAUUUUUUAAAAUAAAUGUACAUAUAUUAUAAUAUAACUUGUUUAUUGUAUACCUGAUAUGAUACAUCUGAUUUAUUUUAGAAUUUUUCAUGUGAUUAAAAUUUUUUAUAAAGUUCUAAAUAAAUUAUUUUAUACCUGACAUUACUAUUGAAGAAUAUAUUGACAGAUAUUGUGGAAUAUUUAUAUGUAACUUAUUAGAAUUUAUACAAAAAUUGCAUAUAAAAUUACGAGAGCUUCUGUUCACUUUAAAUUAAUCAAUCUAACAAGAAUUUAAUUAAGGCUUCAUGCAUAUAACAAAGGCGAAGUGUAAGUUGUAAAAAGGCCAAAAAAAAAAUGUAUUGACAAUUUUCCAUUCUAGAUUCUAAAUUUCAAUAAACAUCUAAUUUAUCAACAAGCAUGUUCGUUCUUUUUAUGAUUGAAUGUUGAAAUAAACAGUGUAAGAUCCAUCUCUUAUGCUUGGUAAUGGCACCAAAAGAAAACUCCUCUUUGCUCCCUUUGCAACAAAGCGGAUAGGAUGAUAAUUCUUUUUCCAUUGCGAAGCAAACUACACUGUUAUAUCCAAACUCUGUUGACACUGAAUUGCAACUGACCUUCAUGCUUUCGCCCGAUUUCAAGUUAACACUAGUAGAAACGAAGCAACCCUUUUGGGUUACUGACUCCAAGGCUACUGUUUCAGCCUUUCCAUCCCAUCCGGUAACAAGGCGAAAAAUGGAGGAGCCAUGAACACUAGAAGAGUCUGCGACAACAAGUUCAUCAUCUGUUCCUUGCACUACAAGCAUUCCUGGGGAAGCAAAUAGUUCUAGCAUGACUGAUCUGCCAAUUGCAUCGCUGAGGGAUGAAAAUUCGGAGGAAGGUUUAUCGUUUAAGAUGAAUCUUAAAGUGGCUUGAAGGGCAAUGUCAGUGCCAGAUUUAGGGGAUUCUGCCAUUGGAAUAGAUUGUCAAGACAAAAGUCGAGUUUCUGGAAACUUUGGAAAAUGUGACCAGCUGAAAUUAUAUGAUGCAGGAAUUGGAGCAACAACUUCUGAAAGAGAUGUUGCUGAUUCAGUCCUGAUAUCGGAGUCCCCAUUGCUGUAGCUCGUAGGCAGAUAAGACCGUGGUGAAUGGCCGAUCAGCUGAAGAAGAAAAAAGAUUUUCAGUCAAAGAUUUUUCAUUGAUAACAGAAAUUGUAAACAAAACAGUUCAUGAAGAUUCCAUCGAUAGGCUCUGUCCUUAGAAUAAGGGGCAGCUGAAUGGUUAAUUUGUCAUCAUAUGUCCAUGCUGUGGUGAUACUUGGAAAUUUCGUGCAUCGGGAAUGUAACUGUUUGUUACAUGUCUUUAUAAAAGAUGAAACCCCACUUUUAAUUUUUCUAUCUGAAAUAAAAAAUUGAAAAACAAUCAAAGAUAUUAUAAUUCAGCACCUGCCGAUGGUAGAGGCAAAUCCUGGCCAUUUAAUGUUGCCUUUGCUCCAUUAGUAUUUGUCCACCUCGAUAUUCUGAAACCAAAGGAUAGUGAUCGAGCUGCUCCCUGGAUAUACAUCAAAUCCAGAAUGUGUGAUGGAUGAACUUCUCAUUACAAUGUUAAAAAAUAAACACCAAGUUUGAUAGCCAGUACCUUAGGAAGAAAUGUGAAUGUGAUAUGACGAUAAGGAUCUGAAGAAACAACAGGAUCAACUUUCUGGUUGGGCAGAAUAUGUCCAGAUUUCCAAUCAAGUGAGCUCGAUAUGUACCGAAUGAUGUAAAGACCAGGAUAUAAUCCUUCCUCUUCAAAGUAAAUUGAAUAUCCCAACUUUGCGAAUGACUUAAUUCCUCCAUGGGAAACAAGAAUAAAAUCUAGUAUACCAAUUGGCGGAAACUGUGCAAAUUUAGAAAGCAACUCAUGAGAUUCAAGAACAUUGAGAGUAAAGAGAAAAAAUGGGCAAUGAAUACCAGACAUGUGCCAUAACAGCACCAGAAUGAAUUUAAUUAAUGCGUAAACAAAUUUUAUUCAACUUUAUUUCUAAUCCAGUCAUUAACAUUCUUAUAGCAAUUUAACUCUAAGAUUUACCUAACACAUACGACUACUUUUAAAACUCACGACACUUUUUAAAAUAAAUUUUACUAAAUGUUUAAUUGAUUCUCUUUACAGUUGAAUAUAUUUAUAAUACAGCUAACAAUAAUUAUUUUAAAAAAUACAUCAUUACCAAAUAGGCCGCCAAUAAUUGGAAAACUAAUUGUAGCAUUAACAAACUCUACAUUCACCAACCUUUAUUUAUCUUUGAUUUUCCUAUAGAGUCUAUAUUACCCAAAAUGUUAAAGAUUAAACCAGCAUACAAGAAGCAACUAGAAGAAAGUAAACGAUAUGAUCACUGACGAUUACCAUUCAUGAUCAUUGAUUUAUGAGAUUGUGCAAGACAGUGGUGGAUUUCCUUCACAGGUGGAAUCUAACGACCACGGGUGCAAAUGAACAGCGACCACAAGUGCAAUAUGAACAGCGACCACAAGUGCAAUCUGACCAGCGACCUCUCCAAUAAACUCUAUUAUGGCAGCUACCACCCCAGCUCUCAUACACUAGUCUUGCAUAGAUCACAAUGCCUCUCUUGCCCCAAGCCAAGCUGGUGACACGGUCCCCAACCAUGACCCUCAGAACAUUGCUUGCAACAUACCCUAACCGAUGUGUAACACGGCACUGGCACCAGGGGUGGUAGUGGUGGUUUUGGGUUUUCCCCAUCCGGUUGUGGCGGGUUUUUUUUUAUCCCCAUCCGGUUGUGGUGGUUUUUUGUUAUCCCCAUUCGGUUGUGGCGGGUUUUUUUUAUCCCCAUCCGGUUGUGGCGGUUUUUUGUUAUCCCCAUCCAGUUGUGGUGGUCUAGGGUUAGGCUUUUUAUCAGGUUCCAGGAUUUCAAUAGUCUUGAUUGAACCAUCACCUUUGCAGCAUAGCUUGUCCCUGGUCUUUCAGGACUGCAGCACACUACUUUUAUUGUCA
rnacentral:lncRNA from 1 species